ACGUUCUAUUUGGUCGGCUACAAACAAACGGGUCGCCGCCGCUGCCCAAACCGUGUAGACGGCAGGCAACAGCCACCGUCCUGGUCUUAGCGCCCCCGCCACCGGCAGCGGAGGACGGCGAGUCCACGAGCAGCAAGCGACUCACCGAGGAAGAUGGGAGGAGGAUUUCGUCUUCACCAUCGGCGUCGCAUAGGUCUCCUUGGAUCAACCGUAUAGGCUGUUCACCUGAGCGCCCGCCGUCUUCGCGUUUAUCUCGUCGUCAGGCACCGUUCCUCCGGUCUACUCGUCCUCCCUUGUUCAAGCAAAUUGCAUUGCUUUACCGACUUGGCUUGCUGCCUCAAACUGUGAAUCACUCUACCCAUCUCUCCUAGGCUCCUGCCCACGCGUGUUAGUCACUCAGUCCCCCAUCAGAUAUGGGCAGCAAAAGAUCCUCCAGGAAGGUCCCACCUGCUGCAAUGCUGCCCAAGGAACGGUUAAGGCAUUUCUUCGCAUCUGAUAGAGAAUCCAAAGAAUAUUCUAAGCUGCUGGACUACUUCAUAGGGGAAGAUUCUUUGAUUGAGGUUGACGUUCCGGGUUGUGACGUACCCAAAGGAGAUACACUUGAAAUCCACUGAUCUGGCAAGGCUUUCAGCACUUGGAGUCAUAAAGUGGAUUGUCGAUCUUCACUCUCAUGGAUGGUCGCUCAAUGGUGAGAUCUCAGUAGAUGAUUUUUUCCUCUCACCUUGGGGUCAUCUCAUGGUGAAGAAUGAUAGGAUGAAGCUUCUAAAAAAGUGCAAAAUCAAGCGGAGAAAGAGAGACAUGGAAGCUAUUGCUUAAGUGAUUCACAACGACAUCUUCAAAGGAUCUGGUGACAUGCCUUAUGACUUUCAGCAUUUGCUCUGGUUGCUGCGACACUACAAGAGAUGUUACGGGAAUCCGGUGCGCAACCACCCAUCGCUGCUGAGUGAGAGUCUUCAAGCCUUUUUCUAGUUGAAAAUCUAUAUACCAUACUUCAACAGGUUUCCAAGCUAGACUCGGCAAAAUACAAUAGGAUUAUUUCCAAGAUUCCAUACUGCAAGAUUGAUCAAGACCACUGGAAGCUGCGGUGUCAAUACAAUCAAUUUCUAAUGAAAAUCCUCGAACCCAAUGGCCCUCUAUCUACUCAAGUUCAGUCAACACCUGCUGCACCUGGUGGCACACAACCUUUUGUAGCCCUUCAGAUUGAUUCAAUUGGUCCUGAUUAUGAGAACAAUGGGGAUGGGUUGCUGAAACUUUUUUGGGACUUGUAUUGGAAUAUUCAUCGUCAUUCUGUUGGAGAAGUCGAGCUGAAGAAGGGGCAAAAGAAGAAGGUGAAGCUCUUUGAGUAUGGUCAGGUGCAGCACAUGUUUAGCGCGGCCUUCCCACAGGUGAUAUGCAGGUUUCAAAAGGCCAUGCAUGCGGAGAAGGAGAUGCCACGCGACAUAUUUCAUGGAUUUGGUCCGUCUUUGGAAGACUUCUGUCUUAAUGCUUAGAGCUGGCUAGUUUUGAGACACAUCGGAAUGCUUGUGCAUCUCUUGGUUACUUGGAGACUAGCAGAACAGGAGGUAUUCAAUCUCAAAUUUAGAUGUGCACUUGAUGGGCGCGUUCCGGAAUUGGGGAUGUUGCUGACCUUUUUGGUUUUGAUGUAUCAGUAUUUGGCUCAUGUAUUUGAGAUUUGCAGAGUCAGGGUCCCUUUGGUUGAGCUUUUGAGGUUGGUUUUGCUUCAAAAAAAGUAGAAAGUCAACCAAAGAGCUUGGGUACCCAAAGCUACUUUUGCAAAGUGUAAUUUC